CUAGCUUCUCUCUAGCCCCUCUCUAGGUCUCUUGAGGUCAUUCAGCCGCCCUUCUGAACUUCCGAGCUCACAGUGUAAAUUCCGUAGGUAGAGUGAUCAAAUUUGAUCGUGAACAUCUGUGCUGUAUAUUAAAUUUUACACAAAAGCACAACAACUAAAGAAUCUGUGCAUAGUUCCUGCUUAUUCCCCCUCCACCCAGAGGCUCUGAAGGAGCUUGCGAGCACUGCACGAGACACUUCUGGGUAGUGUGUCUAACACAUCUGCUCAGGUUUGAGAGUCAGCACACCUGGCUUCAAAACCCAGCUCCACCACUGGCUUCAAGACUUAAAGGCACAGCCAACCCCCUAUGGAGGAUGAACAUUUGGGGGAGGUGGUCCAGGUCCAUUUUUUCCUUGAGUACUUGGUGAGGCAGGCAUGGCUGCCUGAAUUCGCUUACUGUCAAGUCAAAGUUAAGAUAAGCCUGUGAGACCUGUUCUGGCUGUCGUUCCUGAUUCUUCAAGUCCAGGUACAGAGUGGAAGGGAGUGUUUGAUACAUACACACUAUCAGCUGAGACAUCCUGAAUCCCAUGUGGUAGGGAAGAAGCCAGAGAUGCAAGUAAUCACAAGAGCAAGCUUCAUCUGUGUCGCUUGUCCAUGCAAUUGUGGCUCUUGAAGAGUAGAAAACCCAUCUCCCUUUGGGAACGCUGAGUCGCCAGUGCUCUUUCCAGUAGCGCUGGCAGAGGACCAAUGGGCA
rnacentral:lncRNA from 1 species